rnacentral:rRNA from 5 species
CUGAUGCGUUGUUGGGUAGGGGAGCGUUCUGUAAGCCUGCGAAGGUGGCCUGUGAGGGUUGCUGGAGGUAUCAGAAGUGCGAAUGCUGACAUAAGUAACGAUAAAGCGGGUGAAAAGCCCGCUCGCCGGAAGACCAAGGGUUCCUGUCCAACGUUAAUCGGGGCAGGGUGAGUCGACCCCUAAGGCGAGGCCGAAAGGCGUAGUCGAUGGGAAACGGGUUAAUAUUCCCGUACUUGGUGUUACUGCGAAGGGGGGACGGAGAAGGCUAUGUUGGCCGGGCGACGGUUGUCCCGGUUUAAGCGUGUAGGUGUGUGUUCCAGGUAAAUCCGGUUCACUUUAACACUGAGGCGUGAUGACGAGGCACUACGGUGCUGAAGCAACAAAUGCCCUGCUUCCAGGAAAAGCCUCUAAGCAUCAGGUAACAUCAAAUCGUACCCCAAACCGACACAGGUGGUCAGGUAGAGAAUACCAAGGCGCUUGAGAGAACUCGGGUGAAGGAACUAGGCAAAAUGGUGCCGUAACUUCGGGAGAAGGCACGCUGACA